rnacentral:rRNA from 1 species
AUGAAGAAGCAGGAGUUUUGCAAUUUACGUCAGGGGAACCGUACUGUAGGUCAGUACGUGGAUGAUUUUAGCAAACUAUCGCGCUAUGCCCCUGAUGAUGUGGCCACGGAUGCCGCGAAGCAGGAGAAGUUUAUGGAAGGGUUGAAUGAUGAGAUGAGUAUGCAGUUGAUGGUGGCAACUUUCAACAACUACCAGGAGUUGGUAGAUAAGGCCCUUAUGAUCGAAGGGAAGCAACAGCUGAUUGAGAGCCGUAAGAGGAAGUAUGGUCAGGGGAAGUAUACCUCAGGAGCUCAGCAUAAGCCUCACUUAACCUCGAAUACGGGAGGGCUUGUUCAUAAUCAUGGAGGUCACAACCACACUGGAGGAGGAUCGCAUAAUCACAACAGUGGUAAGAAUGGGAAUGGGAACGGAGCUAACAACAAUCAGAAUCGCCCCAAUCCAGCCACACCCUCCAAGAGAGACCUGAGUCAGGUUACUUGCUAUAAGUGCGGAAAGACUAGGCAUUAUGCGAAUGAUUGCCCUGAUGGAAGGAAUGGGAAUGGAAACGGGAGUGCCUGA